rnacentral:rRNA from 1 species
UGGAGAAUAUUGCACAAUGGGCGCAAGCCUGAUGCAGCCAUGCCGCGUGUGUGAAGAAGGCCUUCGGGUUGUAAAGCACUUUCAGCGGGGAGGAAGGCGUUAAGGUUAAUAACCUUGGCGAUUGACGUUACCCGCAGAAGAAGCACCGGCUAACUCCGUGCCAGCAGCCGCGGUAAUACGGAGGGUGCAAGCGUUAAUCGGAAUUACUGGGCGUAAAGCGCACGCAGGCGGUCUGUCAAGUCGGAUGUGAAAUCCCCGGGCUCAACCUGGGAACUGCAUUCGAAACUGGCAGGCUAGAGUCUUGUAGAGGGGGGUAGAAUUCCAGGUGUAGCGGUGAAAUGCGUAGAGAUCUGGAGGAAUACCGGUGGCGAAGGCGGCCCCCUGGACAAAGACUGACGCUCAGGUGCGAAAGCGUGGGGAGCAAACAGG